UACGUAGGAGGCAAGCGUUGUCCGGAAUUACUGGGUGUAAAGCGCGUGUAGGUGGUGGGCCAAGUCUGUGGUGAAAUCGCCCGGCUCAACUGGGCGGGGUCCGUGGAAACUGGUCGACUGGAGGACGGUAGAGGCGAGUGGAAUUCCCGGUGUAGUGGUGAAAUGCGUAGAGAUGUGGAGGAACACCAGUGGCGAAGGCGACUCUUUGGUCUGUAACUGACGCUGAGGCGCGAAAGCGUGGGGAGCAAACAGG
rnacentral:rRNA from 1 species